rnacentral:rRNA from 1 species
GACGAACGCUGGCGGCGUGCUUAACACAUGCAAGUCGAACGGUGAAGCGAGUGCUUGCACUCGUGGAUCAGUGGCGAACGGGUGAGUAACACGUGAGUAACCUGCCCAUCACUCUGGGAUAAGCACUGGAAACGGUGUCUAAUACUGGAUACGACCAACCCUUGCAUGGGGUGUUGGUGGAAAGAUUUAUCGGUGAUGGAUGGACUCGCGGCCUAUCAGCUUGUUGGCGGGGUAAUGGCCCACCAAGGCGACGACGGGUAGCCGGCCUGAGAGGGUGACCGGCCACACUGGGACUGAGACACGGCCCAGACUCCUACGGGAGGCAGCAGUGGGGAAUAUUGCACAAUGGGCGAAAGCCUGAUGCAGCGACGCCGCGUGAGGGAUGACGGCCUUCGGGUUGUAAACCUCUUUCAGCAGGGAAGAAGCGAAAGUGACGGUAUCUGCAGAAGAAGCACCGGCUAACUACGUG